CACCACAUGGGUAACUCCCUACGUGAAUAUUGCACGUAUUAUUAUUACUGUUUUAUAGACCCACACUACCUGUUUAUGUUUGGACUUACUGAGAAGUGAUCUGUAUUCGGAACUAUACCAACUCAACUAAUUGUUUUCUAUCUAAAAUAAUUGAAUCAUUUGUCUCGACUAAAUAGCUGUGAUUUUUUUCUAAAUCGAUCACAAUCACAUGUAAGGGGGUAGAAACAAUGUCACGUCUUGUCUUUUCAGUAAAGUGAAACACAGAGAGGAGAAGGGACCACCACAACAACAGCCUAGCAUCUACUCUUUACUGGUUAUCACGCCUUUUCGGCUCUGUUUUUGAAAAUACUUAGCCGUUAUGAACCUUUCUUCGUUAUCUCUUCCUAGCUUCCAACAUGGUCCAUUCAUUUUCAAGUUUGUAAACCCUAAACCCUAACAGUUUAUGAGCCAUGUUCUUAUAUAAAUGGCCCGCAAGGGUUUUGUUUUCUAUUAUUUUAGUGGAUUCUGGAGAAGAACAAUGUUGCAAGUUGCAACUCCCAACAAACCUUUUUAUAAAAAAGAAGAAGAAAAACUUCCAACAAGCCCUUCUACACCUGGACAAAAAUUUUGAAAUCCGAGAUCCAGAAUGAACCGGAACCGGAAAACCAAAAAAGUAUCUGAUUCAAGAUGGAAAAAUUCCCGAAUAGAUCCUAUAAAAUUACAUAAAAUCCAAACCAAAUUGUUAUUAACUAAAUCUAAGCGGAUAUUCCAAAACCUCCAAAAUACAAAAAAGUAAUAUCCGAAAUAAAUAUUUAAUACUUAAAUUAAUAUUUCAAAUAUUCAAUUAUAUGCUUAUUUUAUCAUAAUAUACAAACAAGUAUUUAAAACUUAAAGUACCUAAUUUCAUGUUUAUUUUAAUAUGAUAUCUAAAAAUAAAUGUAUCCGAAGUAAAAUAAACCGAAUAUAAAAUUAGUGGUUAGAAGACUUUUGACAUGUAUUACAAAUUAUGACUGAAUCAAAGUACUAUUAACUGAACAUUAUCCAUAUUUAAAUAAUAUUGAAUGAGGCCUAUAAAGUCAAAUAUGGAACAUGGAAACCUGAAAAAUCUAAACGAAUCCGAAUGUGUACUCGAACAUCUAUGCCUUAUAUCUAACUAAUCUAAGAAUCAGUAAUUGCAGGUAAAGCAAAAGAAAGCAGAAAAAAAUUAUUAGCAAGAAUUCAUUGUGUUUUUCUUUUGAAAUCAUGUUAAAAAAAAAUCAUAUUUAAAAUAACAAAAUAAAUACAACUAAUUCGUAAACAUGUUAAUCAAGCACAAUUCUUUUGAAUCACCAAAAUAUUUUAUAGCAUACACUUGUUAACUAGUUAUGAACUGAAGUUCUUUUGAGUCUAGAUUUCAAUUAUUCAGGUUUGUAGAAGAUUGAUCAAAAGCAGACUCUUUAAAAAGUUGCCGACUUUUUGGUUUGUAUUUGAUGUUCAGAAUUAUUUUUCUGGUGUCGACAAAAACACACCUUCUCUAAUAAUGUUGAUAAAAAAUGGUACAACAUUAAGUUUUGGAAGGCAACUGACUUGAGAAUAAUUUUAUCCCACAAAUUGGUUCGUCAAAUAUUAUAGAAAUUAAGAAACAUAAGAAAACAAAAAUUCGUUGUCAAAGGUGAUUUGAAGCGACAAACAAUUUGUCGUUGACAUCAUUUGUCAUCUUCCGUGUUUUGUCUUGUGAUUCCUUUACAACUAUUGCUCUCACUAGUAGUUAAGAUUUAAUAUCCAAUAAUGUUAAUUAAUUAUUUACUCAUGCUAUGCAAAAAGACUAAGCACAUUCCUUUUUGGGGGAUUCUAGUUCAGCUUCGCCGUUUUACGCAUAGUCUUCGGCUCGGGAGCUGCCUGUUGGGCCAUGUUACAGUGGGCUUCAAUAUAAAGGCCACAUGAGUAACUGAAGCCUAGUGGCAUUGCCACAAAUAACAAAGUUCGUUAGUCUAACGGCUUAAGAACAGAGCAGAAGUUAAAACAGAGUAGGCUGUAAGAUAAUUUUCUUACAUUUCUUCUUUGUGUUAGUUCUUCUCAGUAUACAUUUUUACUAUCUCCAUAAAAGCAUCCUUUUGACAUUUUCUAUAAUAUAUUGAAAACGAUUAAAUUAUACAAGUAGUUUUGACCAAGUGAUUAACUAAGUCUAAAACAUUCUGUGCAUAAGCCACUAGCAGAUUCAGGAACAUAUCUUUCGUUAUCUAACUAAACUCAAGACAACAUAUGUUCUUAUAAUCAUUCCAUUGGAGAAAACGAAAGAAACUAAAAAAGUAAAAGAACAUUUGCAUCACAAAGCCAAACAUAUUUAUUAGCAACAACAAAUACAUCAACACCAUUACAAGUUACUAAUAAAUAAACCUUAGUGAUAUAAAACCAUUUUUUCCCAUAUACUUCUAAAAAACCGAAAACUCAUUUUAGAGUCUUUAGAUUUUGUGCUACAACUUACUAUUAAACCCUUGACAAAAUCACAAUCACACAAAUACAAACUCACAGAAGCU